rnacentral:rRNA from 1 species
UACGUAGGGACCGAGCGUUGUCCGGAAUCAUUGGGCGUAAAGGGUGCGUAGGUGGCUAGGUAAGUCGGAUGUGAAAUCUCGGGGCUCAACCCCGAAACUGCAUUCGAUACUGCCUGGCUAGAGUACUGGAGAGGAGAUUGGAACUUACGGUGUAGCAGUGAAAUGCGUAGAUAUCGUAAGGAAGACCAGUGGCGAAGGCGGGUCUCUGGGCAACAACUGACGCUGAGGAGCGAAAGCGUGGGGAGCGAACAGG